AGUGAACGCUGGCGGUAGGCCUAACACAUGCAAGUCGAACGGCAGCACAGUAAGAGCUUGCUCUUACGGGUGGCGAGUGGCGGACGGGUGAGGAAUACAUCGGAAUCUACUUUUUCGUGGGGGAUAACGUAGGGAAACUUACGCUAAUACCGCAUACGACCUACGGGUGAAAGCAGGGGAUCUUCGGACCUUGCGCGAUUGAAUGAGCCGAUGUCGGAUUAGCUAGUUGGCGGGGUAAAGGCCCACCAAGGCGACGAUCCGUAGCUGGUCUGAGAGGAUGAUCAGCCACACUGGAACUGAGACACGGUCCAGACUCCUACGGGAGGCAGCAGUGGGGAAUAUUGGACAGUGGGCGCGAGCCUGAUCCAGCCAUACCGCGUGGGUGAAGAAGGCCUUCGGGUUGUAAAGCCCUUUUGUUGGGAAAGAAAAGCAGCAGGUUAAUACCCCGCUGUUCUGACGGUACCCAAAGAAUAAGCACCGGCUAACUUCGUG
rnacentral:rRNA from 1 species